UACGUAGGGUGCGAGCGUUAAUCGGAAUUACUGGGCGUAAAGGGUGCGUAGGUGGGUAAGUAAGUCAGUGGUGAAAUCUCCGGGCUUAACCCGGAAACUGCCAUUGAUACUAUUUGUCUUGAAUACUGUGGAGGUCAGCGGAAUAUGUCAUGUAGCGGUGAAAUGCUUAGAUAUGACAUAGAACACCAAUUGCGAAGGCAGCUGGCUACACAAAUAUUGACACUGAGGCACGAAAGCGUGGGGAUCAAACAGG
rnacentral:rRNA from 1 species